rnacentral:rRNA from 1 species
GAGGAAGUAAAAGUCGUAACAAGGUUUCCGUAGGUGAACCUGCGGAAGGAUCAUUACCUAGAGUUGUAGGCUUUGCCUGCCAUCUCUUACCCAUGUCUUUUGAGUACCUUCGUUUCCUCGGCGGGUCCGCCCGCCGAUUGGACAACAUUCAAACCCUUUGUAAUUGAAAUCAGCGUCUGAAAAACUUUAAUAGUUACAACUUUCAACAACGGAUCUCUUGGUUCUGGCAUCGAUGAAGAACGCAGCGAAAUGCGAUAAGUAGUGUGAAUUGCAGAAUUCAGUGAAUCAUCGAAUCUUUGAACGCACAUUGCGCCCCUUGGUAUUCCAUGGGGCAUGCCUGUUCGAGCGUCAUUUGUACCUUCAAGCUUUGCUUGGUGUUGGGUGUUUGUCUCGCCUCUGCGCGCAGACUCGCCUCAAAACAAUUGGCAGCCGGCGUAUUGAUUUCGGAGCGCAGUACAUCUCGCGCUUUGCACUCAUAACGACGACGAUCCAAAAGUACAUUUUUUACACUCUUGACCUCGGAUCAGGUAGGGAUACCCGCUGAACUUAAGCAUAUC